UGGGGAAUUUUGGACAAUGGGCGCAAGCCUGAUCCAGCCAUGCCGCGUGUCUGAAGAAGGCCUUCGGGUUGUAAAGGACUUUUGUCAGGGAAGAAAAGGCUGUUGCUAAUAUCGACAGCUGAUGACGGUACCUGAGGAAUAAGCACCGGCUAACUACGUGCCAGCAGCCGCGGUAAUACGUAGGGUGCGAGCGUUAAUCGGAAUUACUGGGCGUAAAGCGAGCGCAGACGGUUACUUAAGCAGGAUGUGAAAUCCCCGGGCUCAACCUGGGAACUGCGUUCUGAACUGGGUGACUAGAGUGUGUCAGAGGGAGGUAGAAUUCCACGUGUAGCAGUGAAAUGCGUAGAGAUGUGGAGGAAUACCGAUGGCGAAGGCAGCCUCCUGGGAUAACACUGACGUUCAUGCUCGAAAGCGUGGGUAGCAAACAGGAUUAGAUACCCUGGUAGUCCACGCCCUAAACGAUGUCAAUUAGCUGUUGGGCAACUUGAUUGCUUAGUAGCGUAGCUAACGCGUGAAAUUGACCGCCUGGGGAGUACGGUCGCAAGAUUA
rnacentral:rRNA from 1 species